UAGUUCCCGUAUUUUGGACAUUUUAAAGCUUAUCAACGAAAACAUAAGCUUUGAGUGGUUCGGUGACAGUGUAUAAGGAAACAAGGAUUGGACAUGUGCAGUCACAAUAUUACAAGAUUAAUGAGCUGCCGUUAUUGCUGAGCAAGUAAGGCGGAUAGCAAGCCACCUAUUCGGCUGUGCUCCGGGCAUACCUUCAGGGCAUCUGGGGAAACCGCACCUUUAGCUACGUCACUGGUACUCGAAAAUCUCAUUUUCUUUUCAGUAAAACUUUAGUAAACAACGCUGAAACACAGUUGAUAAUCAGGAUAUGUGGUGCAAUCGAAUAGAAAAUACAUAGGCCUACUAACGUAUAGAACUAUCAUGUGCAAGAUGAACACGAAAAGUGAAUAAACAAUGAAAUAGUACGUGUUAGUGGAGAGGAGCGAGAAAAGAAAUGACAGAGAAACGGUGGAUUAGCGGUAAGAGCCUAAGAAUGACAACAGUAUAAGGGGGAUAAAAAAAAUAAAAAUAAAAAAUAAAUAAAUAAAAUGCGUGAGGACGACUGGUCUUUCCUCGGUUAUCCAACAUGACGUGCCCUGGCAACAUGAACUGGGCAGUGCAGGUGAGGAAGGAAGGAGAAAAUACCGGAUCCUUGGCAUGCAAAGCGCGGCCACGACAGGACAUACGAGGGAAGCAAUUAGAUGACAGAGCCACCAAGAAACAAAUAGGAGGACACAGGAAGACUACAGGGGAUGAGACAGAUGCAUGUAGACAUCAUGUGAGUAGUGGACAGAAUGCAGUGAGCGCGAAGGUGCCGUAUCUAUGGAAGAUCUUCACAGACAACUGCAGCAAGAGACAGAAAAUAUUGUACGCUGGAAGGCUUCGACUGAGAUGAACACAAGGCAGCUCGAGCGACAGUUGAACGAUGCUAAGGUGACCAUCGCUGACCAGCGGAGGAAUCUGAUGGAGCUGCAGCUGAACUCGGAGAACCUCUCACAGAGCCUACUCAAGGAGCGCCAGGAGAGGGACUUGAUCGCGGCCAAAGUAACUCACACUCGCCAGCUGUUCCGCACACUCGAACAGCAGAAAGAAGAACUUGUGGUUACAAUAACACUUUUCCAGCAGGAUAAAGACUUGCUAAGUACCGCAAACCGCGAGGCAGUCCAGAAAAUAAAUGAGAUAACAGAAAGCUUCCAUGACCUUUCCGUGCAACACAAGCAGCAAGUGGAUAUUCUUACUGCUCAAGCUGCGUCUGAAGUGAGUCAGCUGCAGGAGAAGAUCGCGUCAAAAGAGCAAGAACUGAAGGACUUGAACGAGUCGAUGUCGAGGCUCGUCCACAAUAAUGCCGAAUACGAAGAAAAUGUCACAGAGCUGACAGAGCUCCUGAAGACCACAGCUCAGAGUCUGUCGUGUGCCCAAGACAAGAACGCGGCUAUCGAAUCGGAAAUAGUCGAGGUUAAAAGCUCACUAGAAAGAGUUCGGAAUGAGUUGGAGGAGCAAACUCAGGCCUCGAAUGCCCAGGUAAACAAUCUCCAAGAAGAACUAAAACAGGAACAAUGUCGCCACAGCGAAAGUCAAAAGGAGUUUGAGGAAGCAGUAGAGAAGAUACAGUAUCUGAAGAAAGUGAACGAAACAUUGGAAGGCAGCAAGAGCGAGCUUCUGGAUAAGUUUGAGGCUGUGACAACUCGAAAGCAAGAGUUGGAAGAGGAACUCGACCGUAGCAAUAAUAGGAUAACUAAGCUGGAGGAAGAACACACACAGCUGGAGCAAGAAGCACACCUCCUGUCCCUGAGCCUGAAAGAUAUGCACACCAACUUCGAAGAUUUGAAUUCAGAUUUCCAAGAUAUACAGAAAGACAGACAGUCUUUGAUGACGCAACUAGAUGACUCAAAGAAAAUCUUACAAGAGGAAAAUCAACAUAUUAAGUAUCUUACACAACAGAUUUCGGAACUGACUCAAAAUCUGCAGGUCCAGAAAAAGGUGGAAGAAGAGUUGAAAACAGAAAUAUCAUGCUACAAAGAUCGGAAUGAGGAAAUGAGUAACACUAUUGAAUACUUGAACAAAAGGAUCCAGGAAAAUGCAGAUGCGGCAGCCAAACUUCAAGAAGACUUAGCGUUGGAAGCUGAUAAAAAUAUUAGGUCGUUGGGAAAAGAAGUGGAAUUCCUUAAUGAACAGUUGACUAAUGUUCGAAACGACGUGGGCAGCAGAUCGUGAAAACUACGAACGGAAGAUCCAGAACAUUACAAAUAGUUCAGCUGAAACGGAAGCGGAGUUGAAGCAGCAAAUUACAGAUAUUGAGGACCAGUUCAAGAAAACCACGAACGAAAAAAACACUUUAGAUAAGGAUUGGGGGGAGCAGCAAGCACUCGUAAAAUCUCAGAAACUCCAACUCAAAGAACAAGAAAAAGAG